UCAUCUUCGGGGGUAGAGCACUGUUUCGGCUAGGGGGUCAUCCCGACUUACCAACCCGAUGCAAACUACGAAUACCGAAGAAUGUUAUCACGGGAGACACACGGCGGGUGCUAACGUCCGUCGUGAAGAGGGAAACAACCCAGACCGCCAGCUAAGGUCCCAAAGUCAUGGUUAAGUGGGAAACGAUGUGGGAAGGCACAGACAGCCAGGAUGUUGGCUUAGAAGCAGCCAUCAUUUAAAGAAAGCGUAAUAGCUCACUGGUCGAGUCGGCCUGCGCGGAAGAUGUAACGGGGCUAAACCAUGCACCGAAGCUGCGGCAGCGACACUAUGUGUUGUUGGGUAGGGGAGCGUUCUGUAAGCCUGCGAAGGUGUGCUGUGAGGCAUGCUGGAGGUAUCAGAAGUGCGAAUGCUGACAUAAGUAACGAUAAAGCGGGUGAAAAGCCCGCUCGCCGGAAGACCAAGGGUUCCUGUCCAACGUUAAUCGGGGCAGGGUGAGUCGACCCCUAAGGCGAGGCCGAAAGGCGUAGUCGAUGGGAAACAGGUUAAUAUUCCUGUACUUGGUGUUACUGCGAAGGGGGGACGGAGAAGGCUAUGUUAGCCGGGCGACGGUUGUCCCGGUUUAAGCAUGUAGGCUGGUUGUCCAGGCAAAUCCGGAUAAUCAAGGCUGAGGUGUGAUGACGAGGCACUACGGUGCUGAAGUAACAAAUGCCCUGCUU
rnacentral:rRNA from 1 species